AAUGAACGCUGGCGGCAUGCCUAACACAUGCAAGUCGAACGAAGGCUUCGGCCUUAGUGGCGCACGGGUGCGUAACGCGUGGGAAUCUACCCUUAGGUUCGGAAUAACAGUUGGAAACGACUGCUAAUACCGGAUGAUGACGUAAGUCCAAAGAUUUAUCGCCUAGGGAUGAGCCCGCGUAGGAUUAGCUAGUUGGUGUGGUAAAGGCGCACCAAGGCGACGAUCCUUAGCUGGUCUGAGAGGAUGAUCAGCCACACUGGGACUGAGACACGGCCCAGACUCCUACGGGAGGCAGCAGUGGGGAAUAUUGGACAAUGGGCGAAAGCCUGAUCCAGCAAUGCCGCGUGAGUGAUGAAGGCCUUAGGGUUGUAAAGCUCUUUUACCCGGGAUGAUAAUGACAGUACCGGGAGAAUAAGCUCCGGCUAACUCCGUG
rnacentral:rRNA from 1 species